AGAGCUUUUGUCCACUGUUGUGCUGCGCUUCUGUCAUCUCCAUUCCGGCGAUCUGUGUACACAGACUUCACCGGAAGAGCAGGCCUCUAAAGCUGCGCUCUUCACCAGAGACUCUGCACCCGAGGAGGAGAAGGGAGAUCAAGUUUUUGGGGAGCGCGUCUGCGCGACUGCUCACUGUUUGUCUACGACUACUUCCUGGUGAUGCAUCUACACUGCAUCAAC
rnacentral:lncRNA from 1 species